rnacentral:rRNA from 1 species
GACGAAUGCUGGCUGCGUGCUUAACACAUGCAAGUCGAACGGUGAAAGGGAGCUUGCUCCCUGGAUCAGUGGCGAACGGGUGAGUAACACGUGGGCAACCUGCCCCUCACUCUGGGAUAACCCCGGGAAACCGGGGCUAAUACCGGAUACGACCUGGUGCGACAUCGCACCGGGUGGAAAGAACUUCGGUGGGGGAUGGGCCCGCGGCCUAUCAGCUGGUUGGUGGGGUAAAGGCCCACCAAGGCGACGACGGGUAGCCGGCCUGGGAGGGCGACCGGCCACACUGGGACUGAGACACGGCCCAGACUCCUACGGGAGGCAGCAGUGGGGAAUAUUGCGCAAUGGGCGAAAGCCUGACGCAGCGACGCAGCGUGAGGGACGAAGGCCUUCGGGUUGUAAACCUCUUUCAGCGGGGACGAAGCGAAAGUGACGGUACCCGCAGAAGAAGCACCGGCUAACUACGUGCCAGCCGCCGCCGUAACAC